rnacentral:rRNA from 1 species
UACGGAGGAUUCGAGCGUUAUCCGGAUUUAUUGGGUUUAAAGGGUGCGCAGGCGGAGGAUUAAGUCAGUGGUGAAAUCUCACAGCUCAACUGUGAAACUGCCAUUGAAACUGAUUUUCUUGAAUACGGUUGAGGUAGGCGGAAUACGUUAUGUAGCGGUGAAAUGCUUAGAUAUAACGUAGAACACCGAUUGCGAAGGCAGCUUACUAAGCCGUUAUUGACGCUGAGGCACGAAAGCGUGGGGAGCGAACAGG